CAAUAGCGUAUAUUAAAGUUGUUGCAGUUAAAAAGCUCGUAGUUGGACUUCUGGUCUAGAUGAGCGGUCCACCGCAAGGUGAGCACUGUUUGUUUGGACCAUCCUCUCGGAGUUGGUGAGUGCCAUUAACUUGGUGUUUAUCGAACCCGAGACCUUUACUUUGAAAAAAUUAGAGUGUUCAAAGCAGGCCUACGCUUGAAUACAUUGGCAUGGAAUAAUGGAAUAGGACUUUGGUUCUAUUUUGUUGGUUUCUAGGACCGAAGUAAUGAUUAAUAGGGACAGUUGGGGGCAUUCGUAUUUAAUUGUCAGAGGUGAAAUUCUUGGAUUUAUGAAAGACGAACUACUGCGAAAGCAUUUGCCAAGGAUGUUUUCAUUAA
rnacentral:rRNA from 1 species